rnacentral:tmRNA from 1 species
GGGGAUGUCAUGGUUUCGACAGGGGUCAGCUUGGCUCUAGCUGCAGUCGAGUGGCGACGUAAUCGCCGAAAACAAAUUAUCUGGCAACAGAAAUUUAUCCUUCGCUGCUGCUUAAUUAGCACCUUUUACUAGGAACGGCUUCGGCCGAACAGCGCGCUUCCGGGGGUCUCGUCUCUUACGCUCCGGGUAAGUGCCAUAACGAGAGAAUAAGCCUGUUCUACGGUGAUGUGACAGGACGAAAACUUCAUCUCCUCGCAAGAAGCCCAUUUGUCGAUAUUGGGAACUUGUUAAACCAAAUAUCGUCUAAACUGUAGACGCUAUUGUGGGGCUACCUCUGGACCGGAGUUCGACUCUCCGCAUCUCCACCA